rnacentral:tRNA from 1 species
CGUUAAGUGGCUGAAGAAAAGCAUUGGUCUCUUAAACCACAACAUGGGCUACUGGCCCCUUAAUG